rnacentral:rRNA from 1 species
GAUGAACGCUGGCGGCGUGCCUAAUACAUGCAAGUCGAGCGAACAGACGAGGAGCUUGCUCCUCUGACGUUAGCGGCGGACGGGUGAGUAACACGUGGAUAACCUACCUAUCUGACUGGGAUAACUUCGGAAAACCGGAGCUAAUCCCGUAUAAUCUCUUGAUCCGUGGGGGUCAUUGGUAAAUGACGGUUUUGCUGGCACGAAUCGAUGCAUCCCCGCUGCAUUAGAUAGUUGGUAAGGUAACAGCUUACCAAGGCAACGAUGCGUAGCCGAACUGAGGGAGUGAUAGGCGACCCUGGAACUGAGCCACCGUCCAGACUCCUACGGGAGGCCGCAGUAGGGAAUCUUACGCAAUGGGCGGAGGCCUUACGGAGUGACGCGGAGUGAGUGAUGAAGGCCUUGGGAUCGUAAAAAUCUCUUAUUAGGGAAGAACAAAUGUGUAAGUAACUAUGCACGUCUUGACGGUAACUAAUCAGAAAGCAACGGCUAACUACGUG